GUGUCAGUGAGAGGACAGAAGAGCUCACAUCAGUUCAGCUUCAACAUCAGCCAUGUUCUCUGUAGCUCUGAUGCUGCUGCUGGCAGCUGGAUCCUGUGUGAACAGUAUUGAUCUCAUCCAGCCAGACUCAAUGGUUGUGCAGCCUGGACAGUCUUUGACCAUCACCUGUCGGCCGUCUGGUUAUUCUGUGACUGAUAGCAGCUAUGCAACAGGUUGGAUCAGACACUGUGAAGGAAAACCAAUGGACUGGAUUUUCCAUAUGUGGGGUGGUGGCAGCUUUUAUCAAAAUGAUGCUCUGAAGAACAAGUUCAGCUACAGCAGAGACACUUCUGCUGGAACAGUGACUCUAACAGGACAGAAUCUGCAGCCUGAGGACACAGCUGUUUAUUACUGUGUACGUCAACCCACAGUGACACAAACCACCAACAGACCUGCACAAAUACCCAGAGAUCAUGUGACUCAACCACAUACACAGAGGAGGUUUUAAGUUUAAUUCAAAUUAAUACAAUUUAAAAGUAAAACACAAUAAGCAUUACAACCUGUGGUGCACCAUAAAUAAAGAUACCUCAGUGUUUGUUGGUUUAAUGUUGGUCAUGAAUACCUGCCAGGGAAAAAUAUUAUACAGGUUGCAGCUUCAUUUGUUUUUCUCAUCAGCAGAAGCUGAUAAAAGCUUGCAUCAUUUCUCCUUCAGACUCAAACAUUUAGAUAUUAUAAAUAAUUUAGAAAAAUGCUGAUUUACUCUCACCA